GCCUCCUGUUGCAAAGGAAACUGCUCAGGUAUGCUCAGCUUCGAAGGGAGGAGGCACGAGGGAGCACUGGAGUGCCCCCGAGAGGAGCAGGAGCCUCCCCGGGUAGGUAUGGAGGCUUUGUUUGACUUUGGAGCUUUCCUCUGUGUUGUCCCAGCUGCUGACCCCGACUCUGAACUGGGCCCUAACUGGAAGCACUGGAGGAACACUCUUAGGUAAAGACCCCUCCGUGUCCCCCUCUAAGCCCUGUUUCUCUCCUGGCGGAACCCACUACCAUCCCUGAAUCUACAUCCACACCUGAGCUCCUGCCCAGACUCUGGACCCUGCAAAGCCUACCUCUACCCUGCUGGGAAGGAUACCUGCCUUAGCACCGUGGAGGUCAUAGGUCAAAGGAAGGACCAGUCUAUCUCCAGAAGGAAUGGCUCCUGUGUGGCACCUGAGGAUUGCCAGCCUCGAGUCUAUAGCCUGUCCCACGUACCCUAUCAGAGCCUUUGGGUCAAUGUCACCUGUUGCGGCGGUGGUAACUGCAGUGAGUCCCCCGAGGCAGGUACAUCACCAGACAGGCCACGGGUUAGGACAGUGCUGGGUCAGGGAGGGCAGGCUCAGCUGACAGCCCCCUCAUUGUCUUGUGCUGCUCUCUGGACCCAAAUGCCCACGAGCACCAUCCUCCAACGGAUGUGUGGAGUGUAAGGGGCUCUGAGAGCAUCAAAGUCAGAGACCAACCCUAUGGGCUUUGAAUGACCCUCUCACUUCCUAUUCUCUGGAUUCCUCAGUGGCCCUGCCCAAGGGUAGGUUCAGUGAUGUCCUGUGUCCCAUCUGCUCCCUGUAUGACUACUGUUGUGACGAAAGCUUAUACCUGUGCUGCUAUCAAGGGGAGACCUCCUGUUUACCAUGAACCUGGCUCGGCUUAGAGCCAAAGCAGGAAGAAUUUUUCUUCUCUCUGAUGAUGGGAGCCCACCCCAAGUCUGGACUCUUCCAGGGAGCCUCCUUGGCCAAAGCCCAGCCCAGAUGACCUCUUGGGCCUCAGAAACCCCAGAACCGGCCCCACAAUAGUCAACAACAAAUUAUACAUUAGCUCAUU